UUUGAAAUGCCAUAUUAACUUUCCUGGUUGUUAAGGUUGCACCAUAUUAACUUGACAGGAAGAAAUGCCAUUCUUCGGGCUAUUUGUCCACAAGUUUACGGUCUCUUUACCGUGAAGCUAGCAGUUGCCUUGACACUUAUUGGAGGAGUACUGCAUGUCGAUGCUUCUGGGACAAAAGUUCGAGGCGAGUCUCAUCUUCUCCUGGUCGGAGAUCCAGUUUUUAGGUACAGGAAAGUCUCAAUUCUUGAAAUUUGACUUUCCCUUUAUUUAAGUAUUUAGGUACAGGGAAGUCUCAAUUCUUGAAAUUUGCUGCUAAGUUGAGCAAAAGAUCCGUUAUCACUACUGGGUUAGGAAGCACUAGUGCUGGGUUGACAGUUACUGCCGUAAAAGAUGGAGAUCGAAAGGUUGAACGUGAUUACCCACGAUAUAGUGAAAGAAAAAGAACUGUUGAACGAUAUUAUUGCGGGAUUGGUGGUGGAAAAAGAGAAAGAUAAGGCGGAGAAAGAGGCUAUGAAUGAAAGAAUGACAAACAUUGAAGCGAUGCUAAAAGCUAGGUUUCAAAUCGCAUAAUCAUUGACGUAGGUUUCAAAACGUAUAAACACUUUGUUUUGAAUAUGUAUUUUGAUAUGAUAACUUUGGUAUUUGAUGUUUUAAGUGGAAUGUUUUAUAUAACUGUGAAAAUUUGAUAAUAUGUAAAUUUUAAAAUUGAUAUUAUAUGCAGGUUAAAAUA